UACGUAGGGGGCAAGCGUUGUCCGGAAUUAUUGGGCGUAAAGCGCGUGUAGGCGGCUCGGUAAGUCUGCUGUGAAAGUCCAAGGCUCAACCUUGGAAUGCCGGUGGAUACUGUCGAGCUCGAGUCCGGAAGAGGCGAGUGGAAUUCCUGGUGUAGCGGUGAAAUGCGUAGAUAUCAUUUGGAACGCCAAUGGUGAAAACAACUCGCUGGGGAAGUGCUGACGCUGAGACACGAAAGCCAGGGGAGCGAACGGG
rnacentral:rRNA from 1 species